rfam:Candidatus Sungbacteria bacterium RIFCSPHIGHO2_02_FTLL_51_29 rifcsphigho2_02_scaffold_5573, whole genome shotgun sequence.
CGGGCCGUAGUAUACCGGCAGUACACGUGUUUUGGGUACACGGAGACCGGGUUCAAUUCCCGGCGGCCCGA